rnacentral:snRNA from 1 species
GUGCUCGCUUCGGCAGCACAUAUACUAAAAUUGCAACGAUACAGAGAAGAUUAGCAUGGCCCCUGCUCAAGGAUGACAUGCAAAUUCGUGAAGCGUUCCAUAUUUUU